rnacentral:tRNA from 1 species
CGGGGUGUGGCGCAGCCUGGUAGCGCGCCUGACUGGGGGUCAGGAGGUUUCCCGGGUUCAAAUCCCGGCACCCCGACCG